UAUAUCCACGCGUUGGUAUUUACGAGUACUACAACUUUCAUUUAGAUCCCGUCGGCUAAAAAUCGACCGAUCUAAAAUUCAGAUUUCGGGCUGUGCACUGCUAUGCUAAAUCUUAGAAAAAUCAUAACUUCCUCAUACGAAGUCAGAUUUGGGCGUUCUUUUUAUUGAUGUUCUUAGUUUAACAUAUUCUACGACUUUCGUUUAGAUCGCUAAGGCUAAAUCUCGCUCUAUCAUAAAUUCACUAUUUACGUUUCCCGGUAUCGUGCCGGUUCCGUCGCGAAACUUCAACGGGUCAUAACUUUUUCGUUAUAACUCGGUUUUCGGCGUCCUUUAUAUGUACGAAAACCUUAUAACUCGGUUUUCGGCGUCCUUUAUAUGUACGAAAAGUCGUUUUCGACCCCUAUUGCCUCUAAUUUGACUAGCCCAGAUUUGCGGGCGUUACAAUUAUCUCCCCCUUAGGAUGAUUACGUCCCGGAAUCAUCAACGAAACAGGGUCGUAUAAUGACUCCAUACGUCAUCUCUUCAUCCUAGGUAAUAAUUAUAACUUCUACAUUCCUUCAAUUCUAUCUCUUAAACUCAUUGACUGUAAGAGUACUCGAUCGUGCACCUGCUCUCUACCUCAGGUUAGACUCCAAAUUAUGACCUUCAAGUCACAAUCUCGAUCCUUGCUGGAUACGGACUUGAGAUAAGUUCUUUUAUUACUACUAUAGAUCGAUGUGUCAUAUUCUAAUGACCUAUCAUCGUAUGUUGCAACACUUAGACUUAGGUCUCUUAGAGUUAAAUUCUAAAACAGACUAUGCCUUCCUUCAUGUUCUAAUGUGAUAUAAUCACACUUUAACAUUAGGCAUUUCUAGCCACCAACUUCUUUAACAACGAGUGCGAUACUUCUAUUGAUCGCUUUGAUUUCAACCGUUUGGUUUAAGUCAGACGCUACAUCAAACUUGGUUCUCUGAACCACACAACAUACUCAUCGUAGUCGGACUCGAUUCGAUAUGACCACUAGGGUCGGAAUAUCAACAAUCUUCUUAGUCAUUACCGAAACGAUGGUAACAACACACUUGAAUAAAACGAAAUCAAUUACUAGCUUCUUGGUAACCUUGUGACUUUCCCUGAUCCAAGUGUGAGUCCUGUGCUUCCGGUAGUAUAGGCCUCUACUACCAUUCACACCUACUCAUACUCGUCCCAAGUAUUGUCUCGCAGUUUCCCAAGUCACCAUGCAGCAAAUCACACAAUCAUUCGACACAUCAGAUAACAAAACGAAGGUUUUAUAUUAAUUCUUGAAACGAUUACAUAGGUGUUCAAGUUCACCCUAGACUAUGCCUCUACUAGGCUACAUCAUAAAAUACUAUGGCUACUACAUAACUUGCUCUUCUGAUAUGAAGUCCUCAUCCGUGAUUCCUCGCACGGUUUUCUGCUUCGUCGAGGAUCAUGUGAAAUGCCCUUGGCCUUGGUGGCGUUUCUGGUCUUACUGCUUUAUUUUUCUUUGGGCAGUCUCUGGACAUAUGCCCCUUGCCUCCACAUCCGUAGCAUACUUUAUCAUCAUGUGUGCAGUCUUUGGAAUAGUGGCCAGUCCUCCCACACUUGUAACAAGUCACUUCUUCAUUGCACUUCCCACCAUGCUUCUUCUUGCAUCUAUCACACCAUCUUGCUUCACCUCCAUCUGCUCCUCCAAGUUUUGAGAAUUUUCUUUCCUUGUUCGACCUCGAAGAUCCCUCAAACUUUCGCUUCUCUCCUGCCUUAUCUUUUUCUAGACCCUUUUCUCUUAUCUGGGCCUCUACGUUCUUAGCUGCCCUAACAGCUGCUUUCAAGGUAGUUGCCAUUUUGACCAUUGGGCCAAAGUCAGUGGGCAGUCCGUUAGCAAACCUAUCAAUCUUGGAGAGUUCAGUAGGCACCAAGUAGGGGAAUAGCUUCAUCCUCUCGGUGAAUGCGGUGGCAUACUCAUCAACACUCAUCUUCCCUUUCUUCAGGUUCUGAAACUCGUUGUUUAGGUCUAUCAGAUCUACCUCUGAGCAGUACUGCAUUUUCAACUGUUCCAAAAACUCUUCCCACGACAUCCUUAAGGCUUCUCCUCGUGGCAUCGUAUCUGCCAAUAGCUUCCACCAGCUCAAGACUCCAGUUUUCAGUUGUCUUACAGCGAAGACAGUCUUCUGUUUCUCGUUACAGCUGCAGCUCUCAAACACCAUCUCCAUCUCAGAGAUCCAAUCCAUAAUCUCAACCGGCUUCGGGCUUCCUGAGAGACUUGGGGGUUUCGCACCCAAGAAAUUCUUGUACAUCCGCCCAUCCUUGUUGUUUCUCCCUUCUGGGCCAUCCCUUUGCUCACCUUGAGUCCCAACUUGACUCACUUGGCGGCUGUAGUUCCCUUCCUCAGAUUGCUCGGGAAUCAGUUCGGGUUGCUCAAUGGGCAUAGUAGGUUCGUCCCUAUUCAACAUCCGUCUCAUUUCUUCCCUUUGUUCAGCCAACAUAGCCCGAAUCAUGGCUUGAACUCCAGCCAUGGUGACUGGCUCAGGCGCAACUUCUUCUACAACAGGUAUUUGCUGAACCACUGGGGGUUGGUUCCUGUUCCCAUUUGCGUUUACGUUUCCGCUACGGGUCCUUACCAUCUCGAUCUAUACACCGAAUAAGGUGAAUUUAGACCUUUACUUGACGUUUAAAUCAUCCUUAUCACUCCGAAACGUUUACAUGCUAGUUCUAAUACCGUAGUCGUACGUUUAGAAUCCUAAACACAUAAGGUUUCCAGAUCCGGUCGGCAACAGACCAUAGAUCCGAACAAUUAACAACAUAUCAUGCACAAAGCAUUUAGCACAUAAAAGCAUUUUAGGCACAAUUCCUAAAAUAAGCUAGUGCUCACACCUCACAAUCAUCGCUUAGCAUUCUAAGUUUAAGUCUAGAAAUAAAUCCAUAUUCCUAGUUCGCUUAAACUAAUGCUCUGAUACCAACUGUGACAUCCCCAAAAUCACGGCCAGAAAAGACCGAUUUUGUUUAUGCUUUAUAAAAAUCAGAGUACUUCAUUUUAUAAAAAGGUUGCGGAAUUUGUUCCCAGAAAAACAUGGUAAAUACGUUAUUAAAACAUUUUCGAAGAAACGUAUUUAUUUCAUUUUAAAAUGUUUGGGAUGUCAUCGUUAAUACCGAAACAUAAGCAUAAACAGACUUACAAUGAUUUACACUAGUGAUCUACAUCUCUUUUAAAUCUCUCAGUGUAAUGUCACUUCACUUCGUCACCUGUGAUAUACAUAAACUGAGUGGGUCAGGUUGGGAAACCUGGUGAGUACAUAGGGUUUUCAACCCACAAUAAUAUAAUUAUUAUGUUCAAUCAAACAAUCAACCCAAUUACCCAUCCCCAUUAUCUUCUUUACUCUUUAAGGAUUUAACCUAAGAGUCAUCUAUCCUGCAUUCGUUUAUUCCGAAGUCCCUUACUUCCAGGGUUAUGGGACUGGCACUAAAUCCAUAGCUGCCAAUGUUCGUUCAUAAAGCACUAAUUCCAUAGCUGCUAUAGUCUAUUCAUCGGGUACUAAAUCCAUAGCUACCAGUCUUUAUCUAAUAGGUACUAAGUCCAUAGCUACCAAUGUUCAACAGGUACUAAGUCCAUAGCUACCAAUUCCUACAGGUACUAAAUCCUUAGCUACCAGCGUCUAACUAAUAGGUACUAAGUCCAUAGCUACCAAUUCCCAACAGGUACUAAAUCCAUAGCUACCAACGUCUAAAAGGUACUAAGUCCAUAGCUACCGGUGUUUGUCCCAUAGGCACUAAGUCUAUAGCUGCCAAUGUAUACUCACGUCAUCUUCUAUCUCUCAUCAUUCAUCUACCCAUCUCAUACCCAACAUUUUCGUAUAUAUAAAAUACGUAUACAGUUUAAGUCCUUUAAAACAUGUAUAAAACGUUCAACCAGCAUAGACAGCAAGUAUUCAGAUAAUGUGCACACAUAGCACGUAGUUUAUAUAAAAUACUUCAUAUCUAUGUGUAAGAUGAAAGGGACUAUGCACUCACCUGAAAGGUGGUGAGUCGGCACUCGGACAGCACUUCGUUACUCUUAAAACAAUUAUCCCUUGACGAAACCUAGUAUCAUUACCACUAGAGUUUAGUCUAACGCUUGACGAGACUAAUUUAAUAGUCUAGCUAUUAUUACUAUUAUAUAAGCGUUAAAUAACACUCAAUAUAACUCAUAAUAAUAGCCUAAAUAAUUAUUUUAAGGUCCUAACAAUGUUACUAUAAUUAAAUAAAAUCUAUAUUAAAUAUACUAUAGGCGUAGCUCACUUACAGCGGGUUUUUAUUAAAAACCGGGCUUCGCUGGAGCAGCGUUUCCGAGCCGAAAGCUUUUCUUCUCGGAGCCGUCGGGCGCUCCGGGGCUUUCUUCUCGUGAUAGGGAGGUUCCCUAGACUUGGGAGGGGUUUAGGGAGGCUAGAGAGAAGUUAGAGAGAGAAAGAAAGGCUUAUGGUGUGAAGAAAAUAUGAGGAGUUCACCCUUGUAUUUAUAGGAAGUGUAUAGUAAAGUAGUCUCCAAGCUUCGUCCGUAACUUUUGCAUACGAGCUCCGUUUUUGUCUGUCUUUUUACUGUUGAGUUCCUAUUAAUGAGAUCUUCAACUUUCAUUUAGACCUCGUUGGCUAAUUCUCAUUCUAUCUCGGAUUUACAAAACUGUAUCAAAUUCGCCGCGCUCGAAAAGUAGGGACUAAGCUUCGUCCAUAACUUUCGCAUACGAGCUCCAUUUUUGUCUGUCUUUUUACCGUUGAGUUCCUAUUAAUGAGAUCUUCAACUCUCAUUUAGACCUCGUUGGCUAAUUCUCAUUCUAUCUCGUAUUUACAAAACUGUAUCGAAUUCGCCGCGCUCGAAAAGUAGGGACUAAGCUUCGUCCAUAACUUUUGCAUACGAGCUCUAUUAUCGACGUUCUUUAUAUCCACGCGUUGGUAUUUACGAGUACUACAACUUUCAUUUAGAUCCCGUCGGCUAAAAAUCGACCGAUCUAAAAUUCAGAUUUCGGGCUGUGCACUGCUAUGCUAAAUCUUAGAAAAAUCAUAACUUCCUCAUACGAAGUCAGAUUUGGGCGUUCUUUUUAUCGAUGUUCUUAGUUUAACAUAUUCUACGACUUUCGUUUAGAUCGCUAAGGCUAAAUCUCGCUCUAUCGUAAAUUCACUAUUUACGCUUCCCGGUAUCGUGCCGGUUCCGUCGCGAAACUUCAACGGGUCAUAACUUCUUCGUUAUAACUCGGUUUUCGGCGUUCUUUAUAUGUACGAAAACCUUGUAACAUACUCUACAACUUGGUUAAGAUUAUUUAUUCUAAAUAAUCUUUUGUCGAAAAGUCGUUUUCGACCCCUAUUGCCUCUAAUUUGACUAGCCCAGAUUUGCGGGCGUUACAAUUAUCUCCCCCUUAGGAUGAUUACGUCCCGGAAUCAUCAACGAAACAGGGUCGUAUAAUGACUCCAUACGUCAUCUCUUCAUCCUAGGUAAUAAUUAUAACUUCUACAUUCCUUCGAUUCUAUCUCUUAAACUCAUUGACUGUAAGAGUACUCGAUCGUGCACCUGCUCUCUACCUCAGGUUAGACUCCAAAUUAUGACCUUCAAGUCACAAUCUCGAUCCUUGCUGGAUACGGACUUGAGAUAAGUUCUUUUAUUACUACUAUAGAUCGAUGUGUCAUAUUCUAAUGACCUAUCAUCGUAUGUUGCAACACUUAGACUUAGGUCUCUUAGAGUUAAAUUCUAAAACAGACUAUGCCUUCCUUCAUGUUCUAAUGUGAUAUAAUCACACUUUAACAUUAGGCAUUUCUAGCCACCAACUUCUUUAACAACGAGUGCGAUACUUCUAUUGAUCGCUUUGAUUUCAACCGUUUGGUUUAAGUCGGACGCUACAUCAAACUUGGUUCUCUGAACCACACAACAUACUCAUCGUAGUCGGACUCGAUUCGAUAUGACCACUAGGGUCGGAAUAUCAACAAUCUUCUUAGUCAUUACCGAAACGAUGGUAACAACACACUUGAAUAAAACGAAAUCAAUUACUAGCUUCUUGGUAACCUUGUGACUUUCCCUGAUCCAAGUGUGAGUCCUGUGCUUCCGGUAGUAUAGGCCUCUACUACCAUUCACACCUACUCAUACUCGUCCCAAGUAUUGUCUCGCAGUUUCCCAAGUCACCAUGCAGCAAAUCACACAAUCAUUCGACACAUCAGAUAACAAAACGAAGGUUUUAUAUUAAUUCUU
rnacentral:lncRNA from 1 species